rnacentral:rRNA from 1 species
CAGCAGCCGCCGCGGUAAUACGGAGGGUGCAAGCGUUAAUCGGAAUUACUGGGCGUAAAGCGCACGCAGGCGGUUUGUUAAGUCAGGUGUGAAAUCCCCGAGCUUAACUUGGGAACUGCAUUUGAAACUGGCAAGCUAGAGUCUUGUAGAGGGGGGUAGAAUUCCAGGUGUAGCGGUGAAAUGCGUAGAGAUCUGGAGGAAUACCGGUGGCGAAGGCGGCCCCCUGGACAAAGACUGACGCUCAGGUGCGAAAGCGUGGGGAGCAAACAGGAUUAGAUACCCCAGUGUCCCUGUCUCUUAUACA